UUCAAGGCGUGUCAAUGUUCCUGUGUGUUUCACUUCUUUUUCCCCCACGGUCUAGAUCUCCAUUUCACCUGCCUCUUUCCCCCCAGAACUGCGCACAUUGAUCGCUACUGUCCUCAGCCUUCAAAGCUCUCUUUUUCCCUUUCUUUGGUCUCUCCAGAAGACCAGUCCUACGUAUGGUCUGCUGCUUUGCUAUUUUUCCCAAUCCAUUUGCCCACCGGACAAGAGGUUACUGACGGCCUCUGAGAGCCAGCUCCGAUUCUCGAGACAGCUUUCACGGGGCCCUGUUUGAGAUGUUGGAGCUUCAGGAGAGAAGAAAACAGAUAAAGUUUCUGCCUUCAUGAAACUUGUAUUCUAAGGAGGGAAGACAAGUGAGAAGCAAGUGAACGUCUCCCUGUGUCCCAGAGCGGAAACCCAACGUCCAGACUCCUUUGCAGCUCCCGUCCUAGAGACUGGACACGAGUGUGAACUUGAGAAGGUAGAAGUGUGAUGGACGCUGUGGGGCUGGGCAAAAUGGGUGAAGGGGAGGGGGCAACACGGGCUUCCGGUUAUGGAAGGCAUAAGUCAUGGGAAUAAAAAGGCCAAAGAAUAGAAUCAACGAUACUGUAAUAGUGAUCUCUGGUGGAAGAUGGACCUACGCCGUGAUGAGCACAGCAUACUGUAUAAACUUGUCGAAUCACUAUGUUGUACUUGAAACUAAACAUGGUGCAUCAACGGUACUCAAAUUUAAUAAAUAAAUGAAUACAAGAACUGA